GACAGAGGGGGCAAGCGUUGCUCGGAAUUACUGGGCGUAAAGGGCGCGUAGGCGGGAUGGCAAGUCGGUCGUGAAAUCCUUCGGCUCAACCGAAGAACGUCGAUCGAUACUGCUGUUCUUGAGGGUUGCAGAGGAGACUGGAAUUCCCGGUGUAGCGGUGAAAUGUGUAGAGAUCGGGAGGAACACCGGUGGCGAAGGCGGGUCUCUGGGCAAUUCCUGACGCUGAGGCGCGAAGGCGUGGGGAGCAAACGGG
rnacentral:rRNA from 1 species